rnacentral:lncRNA from 1 species
UCAACGUGCAGCUGCUGUUUACUACAGUACAUUGAGAGGGAAAAUACGCACCAGCUAAAUACAUUCAGAAAUGCAGAAGAAUGUGCAUCUAGACGACAUUAUUUCCAAGAUACCAUCCCUUGACUCUGACUUGUCAUCAUCAGACAAUGAAGGAGAGAUAUCUGUCCUUCAGCGACCACCAGAUAUUCACCAAAAGGAAGCAACAUGAACAUGGAGAGUCCAAAAUUUGAGGUGUGUGUGUGUGUGUGUGUGUGUGUGUGAGAGAGAGAGAGACAGAGGAAGAGAGAGAGAGAGAGAGAGAGAGAGAGUUUGCCAUCUCAGAUCACAAUGUCUUUGCAUGCAACGUUACUCAAAUCUGUAUCACAGCCAUUCACUUUCUGGACUGAAAAAAGGUGACUCUUAAUCCUCAGCUUCCUGUGGGUCACAACACAGAAGAAUAACUGAAUGAAAAAGUGCUGCAUGAAACAGAAUGCAAUGUACCUUUGCAUGAAAAAGCAAACAAGACUGAUUGGAUAGAGAUCCAGUUCUGUCCUGUUUUAUCACUGACAGUAAGUUAGGUUGUAUUUAAUAAGAUUUUUACACUAGAGCUAUUCAGUAAAGCCAUGUAACAAAUUAUCUCAACAGCCCCUUGAUGCCUGAUAUCUUGACCAAGUCCUUCAGACUCUACGGCAACAAAAACCUCUUGUCAAGCCAAUUCAAUGUGAUACAUGUGAAGGUUGGAUUGUAGACACUGUUUUACUCAUUCAGGCUGCAUAUAUUUCAGAUGAACAUAAGAGGAAAACAUUUUUGUUUUGUUGUUGUUGUUGUUACAAGCAAUGACAGUGAAAUGCAUUAAAAUGAUUUAAUAAAGCAGCUGGUUGCUUUUUGUAAAAAGAAAGUAAAUGAGAUGGAAAUAAAGACAAAUGUUUCAUCUAUGAAAACCCAUAAUAGGCCUAAAAGAAUCCUCCCUCAGGUACAGUCAUGUUAUACUAUAUUUCUAUUAUGACAAAUUACAUUCAGAUAACAUUCAAAAGUUUUUGGGUUCAGUAUUUCUUUCUUUCUUUCUUUCUUUCGAAUGAAAUGAAUACUUUUGUUCAGCAAGG